ACCGAAAUGGCGGAAUGGUAGACGCGCUGGACUCAAAAUCCAGUAUGGUUAAACAUGUGAGGGUUCGAGUCCCUCUUUCGGUA
rnacentral:tRNA from 1 species